rnacentral:rRNA from 1 species
CAAGGAAAUAAGGGCUUAAGGUGAAUACCUUGGCAUUCAGAAGCGAAGAAGGACGUGGUUACCGGCGAAACGCCUCGGGGAGUUGGAAACAAGCUUUGAUCCGGGGGUAUCCGAAUGAGGCAACUCUUUAAAACUUCUUGUUGAAUCUAUAGGCAAGAAAGAGCGAACCUGGAGAAUUGAAACAUCUUAGUAACCAGAGGAAUAGAAAGUAAAAACGAUUCUCUUAGUAGCGGCGAGCGAAAUGGGAACAGCCUAAACUUUUCAAAAUAAUAAAUAAAUAAUGAAAAGGGUAGUGGGACUAA